UUGGUUUCUCUAGUCUCAUGGUGGGUAUAGUUGUGGAGGGAGAAGGUUGGUUUCUCUUCUCUAGUGGUGGGUAUGGUUGUGGAGGGAGAAAGUUGGUUUCUCUCUUCUCUAGUGGUGGGUAUGGUUAUGGAGGGAGAAGGUUGGUUUCUCUUCUCUAGUGGUGGGUAUGGUUGUGGAGGGAAAAGGUUGGUUUCUCUCUUCUCUAGUGAUGGGUAUGGUUAUCGAGGGAGAAGGUUGGUUUCUCUUCUCUAGUGAUGGGUAUGGUUAUGGAGGGAGAAGGUUGGUUUCUCUAGUCUAAUGGUGGGUAUAGUUGUGGAGGGAGAAGGUUGGUUUCUCUCUUCUCUAGUGAUGGGUAUGGUUGUGGAGGGAGAAGGUUGGUUUCUCUUCUCUAGUGAUGGGUAUGGUUAUGGAGGGAGAAGGUUGGUUUCUCUAGUCUAAUGGUGGGUAUAGUUGUGGAGGGAGAAGGUUGGUUUCUCUCUUCUCUAGUGAUGGGUAUGGUUAUGGAGGGAGAAGGUUGGUUUCUCUAGUCUCAUGGUGGGUAUGGUUGUGGAGGGAGAAGGUUGGUUUCUCUCUUCUCUAGUGAUGGGUAUGGUUAUGGGGGGAGAAGGUUGGUUUCUCUUCUCUAGUGGUGGGUAUGGUUGUGGAGGGAGAAGGUUGGUUUCUCUUCUCUAGUGAUGGGUAUGGUUGUGGAUGGAGAAGGUUGGUUUCUCUUCUCUAGUGGUGGAUAUGGUUGUGGAGGGAAAAGGUUUGUUUCUCUCUUCUCUAGUGGUGGGUAUGGUUGUGGAUGGAGAAGGUUGGUUUCUCUUCUCUCGUGAUGGGUAUGGUUGUGGAGGGAGAAGGUUGGUUUCUCUUCCCU